rnacentral:rRNA from 1 species
GGCGAACGCUGGCGGCGUGCCUAAUACAUGCAAGUAGAACGCACAGUUUAUACCGUAGCUUGCUACACCAUAAACUGUGAGUUGCGAACGGGUGAGUAACGCGUAGGUAACCUGCCUGGUAGCGGGGGAUAACUAUUGGAAACGAUAGCUAAUACCGCAUAAUAUUAAUUAUUGCAUGAUAAUUGAUUGAAAGAUGCAAUUGCAUCACUACCAGAUGGACCUGCGUUGUAUUAGCUAGUAGGUGAGGUAACGGCUCACCUAGGCGACGAUACAUAGCCGACCUGAGAGGGUGAUCGGCCACACUGGGACUGAGACACGGCCCAGACUCCUACGGGAGGCAGCAGUAGGGAAUCUUCGGCAAUGGACGAAAGUCUGACCGAGCAACGCCGCGUGAGUGAAGAAGGUUUUCGGAUCGUAAAGCUCUGUUGUAAGAGAAGAACGGGUGUGAGAGUGGAAAGUUCACACUGUGACGGUAGCUUACCAGAAAGGGACGGCUAACUACGUG